rnacentral:rRNA from 1 species
AUAGGUGGGAGACUUUGAAACUGGCUCGUUAGGGUCGGUGGAGUCAUCGUUGAGAUACCACCCUGCGCAAUACUGAUCUCUAACCCGCACCCGUAAUCCGGGUGGGAAACAGUGUCAGAUGGGUAGUUUGACUGGGGCGGUCGCCUCCUAAAAUGUAACGGAGGCGUGCGAAGGUUCCCUCAGGCUGUUUGGAAAUCAGCCGCAGAGCGCAAUGGUAUAAGGGAGCUUAACUGCGAGACACACACGUCGAGCAGAUGCGAAAGCAGGUCAUAGUGAUCCGGUGGUUCCGUAUGGAAGGGCCAUCGCUCAACGGAUAAAAGGUACGCCGGGGAUAACAGGCUGAUCUUGCCCAAGAGUUCAUAUCGACGGCAAGGUUUGGCACCUCGAUGUCGACUCAUCGCAUCCUGGGGCUGGAGCAGGUCCCAAGGGUUCGGCUGUUCGCCGAUCAAUAGCGGUACGUGAGUUGGGUUCAGAACGUCGCGAGACAGUUCGGUCCCUAUCUAGUGUGGGC